UGGUGUCCUUGCUUAGGCGAGGCCUGAGCUGGCCGAGGCGUGCUAGCCGGGCUGUGUGUGUGUUGCCUCGACGGCUGUUUGGAAGUGUGUGUGAGUCUGUCACAGCUGUGGGGUCCCACUUCAGGAGCUACUCACAUGACUAUGUGUUCCUGUAUGAGCUGCUGAGCCUGGGCUGUCCUCUGCUCUGCAUGAUGCACGAGGUGCUGGGACAGAUCUGCCAGGAGCCCCAGCUGGCCCAGCAGCAGCCCAUCGGCCACCAGCUCACAUAGGAAGGCGAGUAACAAGGGGCUAGUCUGGGCCAGGUGACCCGAUAGGAGCCCAGAUGGAUUUGUGCUCUUGUACUGCACAUAACGGAUAAAUCAGGGGUUCAUAAGUGUAAUAAUUGUGAAACCUAAUCCAAACUGUAUUUCCUAUAUUUCCAGUGUCCAUUAUCAUUUUAGUUUAGUGUUUUUCAGAGUCAAAAGUGUUUUAUUAAGCAACAAAAACAGUUGCUAUAAACGUGCUUCACUUGAUUAGCUUCUGCUGCUUGUAUUCAGUGCCUGGUGUGAGUUUUGCCUGCAGUUACAGUGGACAGCACAACAAAUUGAGCAAUUUGUCAUAUAGGUACUCUGACUAUAUUAUGUAUUGAAGUAUUAAAUGAUACAUGCUGAGCUGACUUCAGGGGUGAUGCAUAAAUAUAAUGCGGCUGCCCUUGUGAAUACCCGGCUCUGUUGGAAAUGAGCUCAGAUCUCCUGGUACGUGUUUGUUGACCGUCAGGGUCUCCUGGUCUUGCAUCUCUGACUCACAUGGGCUUGUUCCAGGCUGCUGAAACUGUAGCCAUCCCCUAAAGGUGCUAAUAAUUCCAUUCAUAUCACACAACUGUCACCAGAUGAUCUGCAACAGAGAUCAAUGUUGAGAUCUUGGUGGUCAGUUUGUAACAUUUUCCACCUUGAUGAAAUCUGUCCCAGUCAUUUGAUUCUGAUCCAGUGAUCUUGUCCGGCUUAGAACAACCAAUUAGACUCUCAUUCUGCACUCCAGACAGGCUUGAAGUGUCUGGAAGAAUCAGUUUUGAUAAUGUACCAAGGACAUUUAAUUGUAGGAGGAGAGUAACCUGGAACAUGCCCUCUGACUCUAACCUUGAAGCCAUCUGGGCAGUGUGGUGUUCUUUCAGUGAACUAGAAUGAUGUCAGAGUAAUGCACAUGGUUUCUGACGUCACACCGACUCUGCAUAUUGCCUGCUGCACCUUAACUCUGCACCACAGAGAUGUGCAAUGGAAAUGCCAAAACAGUAUUAUUAUUAUUAUUUCAUAGCAUCAUUUUUAGGAAACCCUUUUGUCAUUAGACAAAAAACUUUUUGUAGACGGUGUUAAUAUUUCGCUUUGAUAUGUAAUUUGUUGAAGAUAAUUGACUGAUAAAUGACUAAAUAUAUUUAGGGCUCAUUGUUUAUGGUCAAAAUUGUGAAAAGAACAUCGAUAAUACAAAAAUCUGCGUGAAAAUCAAGUCAUGACGAAUUUGAUUACUGAAGCAAAUGUUUAACCUCGGGACUCAAAUCAGUAACUAAUUUGAGUUUUUCCUCAUUCUGAUUUGUGCUACCAAAAGAGUUUUUGAGUUCUGCCUGUCAGAAGAAGACCCAUAAAUACUUUCACAAUUUCAAACUCUGUUUUUCGAUCCAUAUGUUUUUAAUACAAUCUGAGUAUUUUUGGAUGAAAAUCAGUCCAAACCAAAACAAUGAGCCUUCUCUAUAAUCGUUCAGGCAGUGGUGGACAUGUUUGCUUUAAACAAGCAGAAUCCACAGCAGACUGUUUAUUCCUGACUUUUUUUUUUUUUUUUUUUUUUUACAAAAAGUUUUGCUUUCUUUUGUAAUUUUUGAUAAUUGUCUUGUUGCAUAUUCUGUGUUGUAAGUGCUGCCUGAGGCGAGUUUAGUUCUGAAUAUUAGCUUUAAUUGUGCAGAAUUAGGGGCCAAUUCUUCAAAUGCACUGUUGGGGCACUGACCUGUUUACGGACAGUUCUCACAUUUCAAUGUAAUGUCUUACUGUAAUCACUUUAUUGCCAGCAGUACGUUUCCUUGUAAUUCUCAGCACUUGUUUCCUCUCCAUCCUCCAUCUUCCAUUUUCCUUUUUUCUCACAUUUCAUUCAUUUUCUUUUUUUUCCAAAUUCAUUUUUCUUUCUUUUGUUCACUUCAUUUUGUUCAGUCUGUUUCAAGUUUCCAAUGCUGCAUCCUCUGAUUGGCUGAUUCCUGCCAGCGGGGAAGAAGGAGGCCUCCCCCCCUCAGAGCCCCUCUCCAGAUCUCUCUCAUGUACCUCCUAGACUUUGCUCAGGAGAUCAGCAGCCCCAUAGCAGCUUUUUGCACACUGCCAGAUCCACUUUGUUGGCUGUAUUCUGUAUGUUUCUUAGUUUUGUUCAUAACAACUCUUGAAGCAGCCUGCAAGCCUUGUUAUUUGUUUUCCACGUUGAUAAUUAUUGUAAAAUUGCUUAAUUUAUGAUAUUUAUAAGCUGUAAAUAUAUUCAAAAAUAAAUCAGUUUGAUUACAUAAAUAA